rnacentral:rRNA from 1 species
GACGGAGGGGGCUAGCGUUGUUCGGAAUUAUUGGGCGUAAAGGGCUCGUAGGCGGUCUGUUGCGUCGGGAGUGAAAACUCAGGGCUUAACCCUGAGCCUGCUUCCGAUACGGGCAGACUAGAGGUAUGCAGGGGAGAACGGAAUUCCUGGUGUAGCGGUGAAAUGCGCAGAUAUCAGGAAGAACACCCGUGGCGAAGGCGGCUCUCUGGGACGGUACUGACGCUGAGACGCGAAAGCGUGGGGAGCGAACAGG